rnacentral:rRNA from 1 species
UUGAACGCUGGCGGCAGGCCUAACACAUGCAAGUCGCACGGUAACAGGAAGCAGCUUGCUGCUUUGCUGAUGAGUGGCGGACGGGUGAGUAAUGUCUGGGAAACUGCCUGAUGGAGGGGGAUAACUACUGGAAACGGUAGCUAAUACCGCAUAACGUCGCAAGACCAAAGAGGGGGACCUUCGGGCCUCUUGCCAUCGGAUGUGCCCAGAUGGGAUUAGCUAGUAGGUGGGGUAACGGCUCACCUAGGCGACGAUCCCUAGCUGGUCUGAGAGGAUGACCAGCCACACUGGAACUGAGACACGGUCCAGACUCCUACGGGAGGCAGCAGUGGGGAAUAUUGGACAAUGGGCGCAAGCCUGAUGCAGCCAUGCCGCGUGUAUGAAGAAGGCCUUCGGGUUGUAAAGUACUUUCAGCGGGGAGGAAGGGAGUAAAGUUAAUACCUUUGCUCAUUGACGUUACCCGCAGAAGAAGCACCGGCUAACUCCGUG